rnacentral:rRNA from 1 species
UUGAACGCUGGCGGCAGGCCUAACACAUGCAAGUCGAACGGUAACAGGAAACAGCUUGCUGUUUCGCUGACGAGUGGCGGACGGGUGAGUAAUGUCUGGGAAACUGCCUGAUGGAGGGGGAUAACUACUGGAAACGGUAGCUAAUACCGCAUAAUGUCGCAAGACCAAAGAGGGGGACCUUCGGGCCUCUUGCCAUCGGAUGUGCCCAGAUGGGAUUAGCUAGUAGGUGGGGUAACGGCUCACCUAGGCGACGAUCCCUAGCUGGUCUGAGAGGAUGACCAGCCACACUGGAACUGAGACACGGUCCAGACUCCUACGGGAGGCAGCAGUGGGGAAUAUUGCACAAUGGGCGCAAGCCUGAUGCAGCCAUGCCGCGUGUAUGAAGAAGGCCUUCGGGUUGUAAAGUACUUUCAGCGGGGAGGAAGGGAGUAAAGUUAAUACCUUUGCUCAUUGACGUUACCCGCAGAAGAAGCACCGGCUAACUCCGUGCCAGCAGCCGCGGUAAUACGGAGGGUGCAAACGUUAAUCGGAAUUACUGGGCGUAAAGCGCACGCAGGCGGUUUGUUAAGUCAGAUGUGAAAUCCCCGGGCUCAACCUGGGAACUGCAUCUGAUACUGGCAAGCUUGAGUCUCGUAGAGGGGGGUAGAAUUCCAGGUGUAGCGGUGAAAUGCGUAGAGAUCUGGAGGAAUACCGGUGGCGAAGGCGGCCCCCUGGACGAAGACUGACGCUCAGGUGCGAAAGCGUGGGGAGCAAACAGGAUUAGAUACCCUGGUAGUCCACGCCGUAAACGAUGUCGACUUGGAGGUUGUGCCCUUGAGGCGUGGCUUCCGGAGCUAACGCGUUAAGUCGACCGCCUGGGGAGUACGGCCGCAAGGUUAAAACUCAAAUGAAUUGACGGGGGCCCGCACAAGCGGUGGAGCAUGUGGUUUAAUUCGAUGCAACGCGAAGAACCUUACCUGGUCUUGACAUCCACAGAACUUUCCAGAGAUGGAUUGGUGCCUUCGGGGACUGUGAGACAGGUGCUGCAUGGCUGUCGUCAGCUCGUGUUGUGAAAUGUUGGGUUAAGUCCCGCAACGAGCGCAACCCUUAUCCUUUGUUGCCAGCGGUCCGGCCGGGAACUCAAAGGAGACUGCCAGUGAUAAACUGGAGGAAGGUGGGGAUGACGUCAAGUCAUCAUGGCCCUUACGACCAGGGCUACACACGUGCUACAAUGGCGCAUACAAAGAGAAGCGACCUCGCGAGAGCAAGCGGACCUCAUAAAGUGCGUCGUAGUCCGGAUUGGAGUCUGCAACUCGACUCCAUGAAGUCGGAAUCGCUAGUAAUCGUGGAUCAGAAUGCCACGGUGAAUACGUUCCCGGGCCUUGUACACACCGCCCGUCACACCAUGGGAGUGGGUUGCAAAAGAAGUAGGUAGCUUAACCUUCGGGAGGGCGCUUACCACUUUGUGAUUCAUGACUGGGGUG